rnacentral:lncRNA from 1 species
AGUAGCAGUAGGUGCUCCAAUCUUCCAACGCAUAACCAGCUUAUGUCUAUGUAUCACCAGUUAAAGAAAUUUGCAGAAAAGAAUAAUUUCGUUUCCUAAAUGCAGAAAAAUGAGCAUCUUCUUUCUUUUCGUUUUGGUUUUGUUAGGUGGAAAUCGGAAACAAAAACCAAAUUAGCCAGGGACAACACAGCAGCAAAAUAAAAUUUGAUGGUGCAAGGAACAUGCAAUUGCAAUGACCUCUCUGGUGAUGCUCUGUAAUGAGAUGCCUACAUGGGUGAUUUCAGACAGCAGUUACGAGAACAUCUAGAUGGUCAUUGGUCAAAACUGCAAUCAAAAGGAUACACCCAUAUUGGUGUCUUCAAAAAGUGGAAUUCUCUACUCCAGAUAUAUAAAAGCAUGAAAACGAUUGAUAUGCCCAAGAAUGGGGAGCGGAAGAGGGGAGUUAGCGAUAAAGCCUAGGCAUAGCAGGAGACAAUAUGUUAAACAAAUGAAAAAUUGGUUUGGUGCGUAUCAGAGGAAUGAAACAUCAUCUGCAUUGUAAAACAAACAGUAGAGUAAUAAAGAUGAUAGCAAGGGAAGGGUAUGAGGUCACAGCUAAGAAAGACACAAUAGGAGCUCAUGUCUUGGGUAAUUCACUCCCAAAAUGUUCAGCAGUUGACAUACCAACAAUGUCAAAGCUCCAAAUAUCAUCAUCCACAGAAAAUCUGCUGUUCGUCUUUGAAAAGGUCCACUCUCCAGUUGCACUCCAUAUCUUGCUCUAUAACAUCAAGAAGCUAUAAUCAUAAUUAAUACUUGAAAAAGUAAAACAAAAAUCUUUUGCAUUUCCUAACUAAUUGCAAGCUUUAAUAGUGCCGUAGAAAAUGAUUCAUAUUAGAGAAAUAAGACUUUUAAAAGAAAAAAUACUGGUCAGAGGGUGUGGGCUAUGUGCCGCGGACUCUCCAAAAUGUUGCCGCAUCCGUGUCGGAUCCUCCAAAAAUGAUCUGACACGCACCCAACCACAUUUCGGUGAGUCCGGGCAACAUAGGUUGUGGGCACUUACAUCAUCAAGAGGCGAAUCCCAAAAUUAAUUGAGAACUUCCCAAGAAAGAAGAAAUUUGUUAUCAAUCUCCAUACCUGAAACAAAUGUAGCAUCCGGUAUCCUCAUUAAUAUUGAAAAUUAAACCCAAAAAGAUAAAUUACACGUAUCUUGGUACUUACAAAACACUUUUCAGAUACGUGCACUAGAUAUCACUUAUAACAAGUGAUGCAAAUUUCUCAUUUACAGGCUCAACAUAAUUUAAUAUGAUGUAAUUUAACAAAAAACAUGAAUCACUAUUAUCUUUUGUUAAGGUACAUGCAUGUAGCACCAGUGGGGACCAAGGAUUUUUAUGCGGGUUCAAAAUGCGAAGAAGCAAAUAUACAAAGACGUCAACAAAAUAAAUAUUUAUUAAUAAUAAAAAUUAAAAUACAUGAUUAAAAUUGCCCUCUACGAGUUUUCAUUUCCUGAAACGUAUAAAUAAUAUUCUCAUCAGAAAGAGUGUUAAAUAUUCUUUUCUAAAUAAGGCACCAAACAACCGUUCAUGAACUCGUCAUCCGUUCGAUUUCGUAAUUCAGUCCGGAUCAACUUCAUCGCCGAAAAAAUUCUCUCAACUAUAGUAGUGGCAAGUGGUAAAAGCAAAGCAAAUUUCACAAGGCGAAACACAAAUGGAUAAUUCAAAUACUUCUUUGACUUAACUAGUGUUUCAGAAAGAUCAACAAGUUCUUGUAAAUUUGAGAACCUUUCAUCAACAUCACAAAUAUCAACAAUAUAAGUUUCAAACUAAUUCCUGAGAGUAACCAUUAUAUUUUCAUCGAAAACGUCAAGAUACUAUUCAACCAUUCUCAAUAUCUUUUUUAUGUCAAAACUGAAAAAUAAGUCAACUGGAUUUAAGAAAGGUAUUUCAAUGAGCAAGUUCGUUGUCACCUCAUUAAAACGAACAUUGAGUUCUUGAACUUGCCAAUCAAUAAUCUUAAAAAAUACAUCAUGUGAUAGUGAUGUAAAAUAAUAUAAUCAGCAACUUUACGUCGAGAUCUUCCGGAGUUAAUAUAGAGCUCGUCAAAGUUUAAUAUCAAAAUGUCAUAUUGACACAAAACGCAGACACCUUAUCAAUCAGUGAAUCCCAUUCUUCAUCUCUUGGCUUCUGCAACUGUCUCUUUGCCGCUUCAACAAGUAGAACAACAUUUGCAAUAUCAUGUUCCUUUUUCUAUAAGGAUGUAUUAAGCUCAUUUGUGAUCCCAAAGCAUAUCUCAUUAGGUGUAACAUGAAAGCAACCUCAAAUUUUUGACAAGUUCUAAAAUAUCCCUUUGCCUUAGCUCUUUCUUCUAAAGACCGGGCAUCAACAACUAUAGUGCCAAGAACAUCAACAAUAGAGCCAAACAUAGAAAUAAAGUUCUUAAAAGAUUUGUAGUGCAACCCCCAACGAGUAUCGGCAGCUAUAGCAAGACCAAGUUCUUGAUUCAAGCCCCCUACUAAUUUCAAGCUCACCUAUAUCUAAUGCCUCUUGAACUUUUUCUGCUUCUGCUUGAGAUUCUCGAAGAUAAUCCAUACAUUAGGAAGAACCUCCCAUUAUAUUCAAGACAUUAAAAACCAACAUUAUAAGUUCUCUCACUUCAAGAUACCUUUUAGACACCGCAACAAGAGUCAAUUGAAGUUGAUUAGCAAAACAAUGAAUGGAAUGAGUUGAUUUACUUUCUUGUUGAAUCAAAGUUUUAAGGCCACUUAGAUACCCUUGCAAAUUGCUUGCUCUGUCAUAGCACUGGCCACGUACAUAAGAUAAACUCAAAGAAUAUUGAGCAAGGUAAUCAAUAAUUGCUUCCUUUAAACAUAAAGUACUAGUAUAACGAACAUGAACGAUCCCAAUUAAAUGCUCCACGACAGAUCCCCAUCUAUCAACAUAUCGCAAGAUAAUAACCAAUUGUUCUUUGCGUGAUACAUCACAAGAUUUAUUAACUACCAAUGAAAAAAGUCACUAUUUAGAUCGCCCAUAAUUGCUUUAACUGUUUUAAUCUUACAUGCAAUGAUAAUAUCUUUUUAAAUUUUAUGAUUAGUCAACUAAUCAUUAUUUGGAGCCUUUUUGAACAAAAGAUCAUGGAUUUUAUCACACCUCAUUGCUUACCAUGAAAGAAUUUAAUGAUGAUUCAUCUUCACGAUAUCCACGAAAUGUCAAUUCUUGAUUCAAAGGAGUCUCACCAACUCAAUUGAAGCCUUCAAGCGAAUUGUGUAUUCGAGCUUGGUUUGACUAGAUUGCCUAUCAGAUGCAAUUUGAAUUGACUGUUUUUGUUGUAAUUGAUCUUAACAUUUCUUUUUUGCCUGGUUAUGAAUACUGCUCAACCCACCAACAUGCAUACCUAAUCUAUUUUUUUGUGCACUCUUAAACCAUAUACUUAAAAAUACAUCGCCUGCCUCCACCUUAACGAAUGCCUUCAUCUUGAAAUAAGUAACAACACAAACAAUAAGCUGCAUCUUCUAUUACACUAUGUUCUAACCAAUUAUGAUACUGGUCAAACUAUUUAGGAUUGAAAUGACACUUUAAAGACCGAAAAACCUCUUUGAGGAAACUUAUGAUAUCACGGUUAGUAAGGACCUCUUUGGAGGUAUGCUCUUCUAAUCUUAUCACGCUUAUUUGGAUGAUAGUCCCUAAUGGGUAGUCUUUCCUUUGGAUCGAGCUUUAAAGAAUCGAGAUAAAAAAAAAAAAGCAUCAAAUUCCUUUACUUGAAGCCACGUAAUUUUCAAGAAGACAAUUCUCUAAGUUAGUAAUAAAUUUUAAUCACAUACUAAUGAUGGCCCCAAUUCCCAAACUUGAAACAAAAUACGCUGUAAAAUACCCAAAAUAAAUUACCAUCAAAUUAAGUACUGAAAUUCUUUUUAAUUGAUGAAAUUGUACAUGGCCAAACUAAUUUUAAAAGUACAAUACAAUGAUUAAAAUCAAAGUGAAACAUGACGAUGUGGUUGCCGGCGAGAGAGGCGACAACCAACGAAAAGCGGCAGUGGCCAGCGGCUAAUGGCAGCGGAGACGGCUCCGGAUGCAAUGUAACUUUGAAAUUGAACCGAAGGAUUCAGCCAAGAGAGAGAGACAGUGAAGGGUUGGUAAUUGGAGGGUAUUUGUUUGGGAAUUGGGGGCUAUAUAUAAUUUUUAGAUUUUAGAUUCUAUUAAGAAAAAAAAAGUAAAACGGUAUCAUAUAUGUAACGACCCGGCCAGUCAUUUUGCUUUCUAAAUCUCUGUUCCCCUAUUUAAGACUUUGUAUGUGCUUUUACUGUUUUAUGACUUGUGGGGAUGGUUGGUUUGGUUUUGGAAAGGUUCGGAUUAAAUUCGGAACAAUUAGUUCCAUAGUAGUGGCCUAAGGUGGUCAAGUUUGACUUGGGUCAACACUGAGUAAACGACCUCGAAAUCGGGAUUUGAAAGUUCCAAUAGGUUUGUAUGAUGAUUUUGAACUUGGGCGUAUGUUCGGAUCGAAUUUUGGGUGGACCGGGAGUGUUUCGGUGCUUAUUAUUGAAAGUUGACGUCUUGAAGGUUUUAGAGUUUCUAAGUUUGAUUUGAAGUAGACUUUGGUGUUAUCGAUGUCCGUUUGGGGUUCUGAGCCUUGGAAUAGGUUCGUGUUGUGAUUUGUGACUUGUGCGUAAAAUUUGCGUCAUUCCAAGUUAUCUAAGUAUGAUUCGUCGCGUUCUGGAAGAAGUUUGAAGUUCCAAAGUUGAUUAAUUUGAUGUUGAGGUGCGAUUCUUGGUUUCGAUGUUAUUUUACGUGUUCCGAGACUUCGAGUAGGUCCGUAGUAUAUUUAUGGACUUGUUGGUACAUUUGGACGAGGUCCAGGGUGAAUUUCGGACCACCCACAAAAAAGUUGAAGUUGGCUGAUAUUGCUGGUUUGCUGGUGUGCUUCGCGCGAUCGGGUAAUCCCGCGAUCGCGAAGGGGGCUGGGGAGGGGUCUGAGAUUUUGCUCUUCACAAACGCGAGUAGGGCCCCGCGAACGCGAUGGAGGAUCUGAUUCCUCUUCGCGAACGCGGAGCCAUCUUCGCGAACGUGAAGAAGGCUGAGGCUGAGUUGGGCUAGAAGGUUGUUGGCCUUCGCGAACGCGGCUGGGGGACCGCGAACGCGGAAGGGUGGGUGGUUGUUCAACGCGAACGCAAAGAGGAUUUUGGUCAGCUGGAAUAGUUUGGUCUUCGCAAUCGCGAGGGACUUACCGUGAUCGCGAAGAAAGAAUCACCGGGCAGAUCACAUUUUUAUUUCGGGACUUAGGUCAUUUCUCUCACUUUUCACUUUGGUUUGGACAAAUUUGAGAGCUCUUUUGAGGGGGAUUUUCAUCAAAAAUCACAAGGUAAGUGAUUUCUACCAAUUUAGAGUUAAAUACAUGGAUUAUGGGUAGAUUAUAACAUAGAAAUUGUGGAAUUUUGGCAUUUUUGUUGAAAAACCUAGGGUUUGGUAAAAAUGGGCUUUGACCACGAAAUUGAUUAUGGAAUUGGGAAUAAAUUAUAUAUUUGAGUUUGUAAUGUCAUGGGUAAUGUUUAUCUUCAAAAAAAUUCCGAAAUCCGGACACCUAGGCCCGGGGUUCACUUUUGUUGACUUUCCAAACGAGGUUGGGAAAUUACUCUAAUAGAUAAACUAUGAACUUUUUAGCAUAUAUUGAUUGGUUUAUACGACCUUUGGCUAGUUUCGUAUUGCUCGGCAUCGAUUUGAGGCAAGUAGUGAGGUUAGAGAGACAAGUAGUGAGCUUUGGAUCGAGGUAAGUCUCUUGCCUAAUCUUGUAAGAGAUUAUCCUCGCAGGUAUGCUAAUUGUUAUGUGCUACUUGUUUUGGGCGCUACGUACGCACGAGGUGACGAGAGUGUGUACGUAGCUAGAUUCAUGUUUAUGUCCGGGUAGACUUAGAAACACAUCAUGCUUUAAAUGUGCUAUGUGAAUUUAUCGUGUUUGUUUGAUUCCUUAAAUUUAUGACUGAGAUUGAGACUAGAAUAAAAAAAUUGACCGAGUCUCUUACGUUGAAAAUCGUGAAAUAUUUGAUGAAUGGUAGUUUCGUGUCUUAUCAACUCGCAAAUAUUUUCGCGAGUGAGAGAGUUUCUCUAUUGUUAUGGGAUCGGGUCGUUCGCCUUGAUAGUGUUGUAAAUUAUUCUUAUGGGAUCGGGUUGUUCCCCUCGGCAAUGUUGUAAAUUACUCUUAUGGGAUCGGAUCGUUCGCCUCGACGGUGUUGUAAAUUACUCUUAUGGGAUUGGGUUGUUCGCCUCGUCAGUAUUGUGAAUUACUCUUAUGGGAUCGGGCCGUUCGCCUCGACAAUAUUGUGUAACACUACUCCAGUGUUGUAAAUAGCGAGCGCUACGUCGCUGCGAUGCGAGACUGUGUCGCUUCUUUCAUCUGUUGUGUUGCGAUUUACAUAAAGCGAUCGCCUCUGCUUGUGUAGCGAGAGGCGACAGUGUGGCGAGAGGCGACUAAAGCGUCGCUUUUUUAAAAAGAAAAAAGAAAAAGGGCAAAGACUUAAGAAAAUAGGUCGCGAUUAGGGCUUGACUCUCAGAAGUUUCUUUCUUCUUCAACUUCGAACAACAGAGCAGCCAAGUUUCUGAAAAAAGGUCGCGAUUAGGGCUCGCGAUUACUGUGCCAUACUUGAGAUUUGAUGUGGUAUUGGUAUCGGUUGACCUUGUGCCUUCAAGGCAAGUUGUGGUAUUGGUGAUUUCAUAAUAAUUCUUGUCUGGAAGUUUUAUUAUGCUGUUUACCUGCAUCGUUGCUACUUGUUGAGUUUCAUACCUGUCUACUUUAUGUACUUAAUUAUUUUGACCACUAGUAAGUGUCAAGUAGACCCUCCGUCACUACUUCUUCGAGGUUAGACUAGAUACUUACUGGGUACGUGUUGAUUUACGUACUCAUACUACACUCUUGCACUGAUUAUGCAGGUACUGAGACAGGUACUUCCGGUGGUCAUACGGGCGCAUAGACGUAUUACACGGAGACUUAGUGGUGAGCUGUUUUCCAUGCUUCGAUCUAAAUACGUCAUUGAAAGUCCAAAUACGUCAUUGAAAGUCCAAAUACCCCCCAAGUAGACCCCUCGUUACUACUUCUUCGAGGUUAGACUAGAUACUUACUGGGUACGCGUUGAUUUACGUACUCAUACUUCACUCCUGCACUGAUUGUGCAGGUACUGAGACAGGUACUUCCGGUGGUCAUACAGGAGCAUAGACGUAUUACACGGAGACUUAGUGGUGAGCUGUUUUCCAUGCUUCGAUCUAAAUACGUCAUUGAAAGUCCAAAUACCCCCUAAGUAGACCUCUCGUCACUACUUAUUCGAGGUUAGACUAGAUACUUACUGGGUACGCGUUGAUUUACGUACUCAUACUACACUCCUACACUGAUUGUGCAGGUACUGAGACGGAUACUUCCGGUGGUCAUACAGGCGCAUAGACGUAUUACACGGAGACUUAGUGGUGAGUUGUUUUCCAUGCUUCGAUCUAAAUACGUCAUUGAAAGUCCAAAUACCCCCCCCCCCCUCCCCCCAAAAUCCCCAAAUGAAUUGGUUGGUUCAUACGAGAAACAAUUUGCGAUCCCAUAUAUUCAAAAAUUUGAGAACUUUUGACCUAUUAGUUUAAAUCUCCAAUUCACCUUUGGUCACACGACUCACACCAGGCACGAUACAUUUUAUAGCAUUCAGAAUUUCUUUAUAAAAUUUAAAUUGCAGUUCCAAAUAAGAAAUAAUCAUAUCUCAAGCUUAUCUGAUAUGUCAUUGAAAGUCAAAAUAGUCCCCCCCCCCCCAACCCCUCAAUGAAUUGGUUGGUUCAUACGGGAAACAAUUUGUUCUUCGACUAGGAGAACAGCUGAGAGGAGGUAGUUAACAUCCAUUUUGUUUGCUAAUAGGAUAAGUUGCACAAACAUAAAGUCACCACGUUAUGGCAAGAGCAAAAGCAAAAAAUUUAUUUUUCACCAAAAAAUAAAUGACCCAUUAAAUAUUUAGCCACUAGGCAGCCUGCCUAGUGCUAAAUUGCUCGGACACGGGUGCGGGUGUCCGACACGGGUGCGGAUCUAGAGGUCGGAUCCUUCAAGAUGUUAAUUCUAAGAUUCGAGGAUACGGAUCCUAGUACGGAUAUGGGUGCGGGGAUCCGGCUAAAAAUAAUUCAAGAAAAUAAAAAUAUAAAAAUAUCUCUAAAUUAUGAGAAAUUUUAUGGAAUACUUACGUAUAACUGGUAAAGUAUGGAUUUGUUUUUACUCUCAAGUUGUAGAUAAGUAAAGGAUUGAUUUUUUGGAUAAGGUAUGUUGUUUUCUUCAAAUUUACUCCAGUUUUGGUUAUGAUUUCGGGAAUCAAAUUGUAUCUCGUCUUCAAUUUCUCCGUCUGUCGUGGUCUAAGUACCCAAAAUUAUUUGAUCAAAAUCGGUACGGAUCCCAUACCCACACCCAUACUAGUGUCGUGUCGACACGGGUGCGGCACCUAAACUACCGUGUCGGAGCAACUUAGGCCUAGUGGUAUAUUUGCUAAAAAAAAAAACAUUUAAGAUUGACAUGAACUAAUAUCAUUGAGAGGAAGCCAGAGGAGUUGUAUUUAAGGUGCUUCCCAGUCCCAACUUCAGCGAAAGCCAUGUGUGAGUGAUAAAAAAGCAAGCUAGCUCCCAAGUAUAAGAACACCAGAGAUGCUUGUAUAUCUACAUCUAUUGCAAGAUCCAUUGCGCAAUUAUCCUAUGUUAAAAACUAUAACCAUCAAAUGAUUACUGAAAAGAACAAUAACAGGAACUAACAUAACAAUUUAGAUAUCUCAAAGUCAUACACUAAGCAUGAGAAUAUAAGAAUUCAGCCAUUGGAACUAGAGAAUGUUUCAAACUAAAUAAGCUUGUCACAGGCCUCGUAGGUAUGAUACAUUAUGGUGUCUGGUUAGCAUCGUAAAGAUGCUGAUAUCCGAAGUAUAAUUAAAUAAAAGGAUAUUUACCUGAAAAUGGGAGAAUACUAGCUCAUACAAUAAUGCAAUAUCAACAAGAUCAAACAGUCCCAAUUGACAUGCAGUUGUCAAAACUAGACAAGCAGUCCCGUAAGCCUUGCUUACAGGUGGAAGUGAUUUAUAGAACCUGUGAUGAGAAAACAAUUAGGUCAUUCAGUGAAUACUUGAUAGAGAAAACAUAAAGUAUAAAGCAGAUAGCAUUCAUACCAAUGACCAGAAUAUGAGAUUAAAAAUGACCUAAUGGCAUAAAAUAAGGAAAGCAAAAGAUAGCAAAUCUUAAGACCAGAGAUUAUAGGAAGGAGGGACAGCAAUCCACAGUUCUCACAUAUAGUCUGACCUGUCAAAUCAGUAGACACAUACAUUCAAACUUUUCCUUUUCUUUGGAAAUGAUAGAAGGAUUAGAUUCUAAAGGAUGACUCGCUUGGGACACAUGCCGCAGAAAAAAUCUCAGAUUAGCAACUUCACAGCACAACGUGAAGUCUCCAAAUGCUUAACAAGAAGCAGCAACAGAACCAGUUGGGAGUUGAGAGCUCAGAUUUAGGAGGGGAAUAAUAACCCCAUUACCAAUAAAACUUAACUGACAGCGAAGACAAUUACAAGAGGUAUACUCUAUCAGGUACAAUAACUGGAAGGUCAUGGUGAAGUCAUGUUACAAUCACCUCUCUAGUAGUAUAGAAAUGGUCAACAGAUUGCCCGUAACAUGGAGAACGAAAUACCAAUAAAAGUGGCCUGUUUUUCACGACAGAAGAGCAAGAGGUUUGCCUCAUGCAACUUUUCCUUUUUAAUAAGUCAGGCAAGAUAAUUUACAAAACGGGCAGAAUAGGACAAUAGAUGGUACAUGCGCAAAAAGGCGCUGUCAUCUUCACAUUCAUUAUUCAGAGGUGACUGGAAAUCUAGGAACUAUAUCUUAAACUGUUUGGCUUAAGCAGUGAGAUGCUCUACACUGUCAAAGAUGCCUUAGCAAGAUGGAUCAGAUGGAAGAGAAAGGAACUAACUAAAAACAUGUGGAUCUCAAUCCUAACAUGCAUUUUGUUGUCAGUCGAAUGCGAGAAGUUUUAAGGAAAAUCAGUUUCACGUCAUAUUCUGAAAUACAGAUAAUCAAGCUCAACUCAUUGAUGAAGAUGGAGAUAAUUAGCCUUCAAUAAAGACGGCACAGCACGUGGUUAUGAAACACUUUUUUUUUAUAAAGUAUCAAAUACUUAAAUUUUAUGAGAUACUAGUUAUCCAAGUCAUGCUCUGCCCCAAAAGAAAGCAGCAGUAGUCAUUUCCAAUAAUUUAGUCUUUCAAGAAAUAUUUCAGCUUCGCUAGUUAAAUGUUUUUUGUGUUUGAUUUUCCUCAUUUAAGGGAAUAAAGAAAUUGCUAAAGUUUCAAUCAAAAUUGAGUCACCAAGUCAAAAAAAAAAAAGAAGAUUGGGCAAAAAUCUUUUGUUUUAAAAAAUAAAAUAGGCAACAAAAGUUAACAAAAAGUGCUAAGUGUAAGGGGUAAGGCUGGGGAGAUUAGAUUCUUAAAGAUACAGACACAAGAGACAGGAGUCGCUGGUUGGUGAAGGGGGAGUGAGGAGGAGGAAAAAUCUAAGUGUGUGGGACUAAGUUGCUCGGACUCGGGCGUGGGUAUCCGAUACGGGCACGGAUCCGAGUGUCGGAUUCGGCAAAAUCUAAAUUUAAGAUUCGGAGGUGCGGAUCCAGGUAUGGAUACGGGUGCAGUGAUUCGGCUAAGAAAAUUCAAAAUUAUUAAAAUAAAUAAAUAAAUAAAUAUAAAGCGAAAAAGAAAGCCAUUCAAGGCCUUCCACCAAUUCUCCAUCUAUAUCGCAGCUAUUGUCUGCCAGAAGUCCGAACUCAAAACACGACCCCUUGAAUUCUUGAUUUUUCUGAAACACAAAGCAACAAAUAUGAGACAGAAGUACUACAAUAUUGAAGGCUUGCCAUUUC